GACGAACGCUGGCGGCGUGCUUAACACAUGCAAGUCGAACGGUGAAGCACCUUCCUUUUGGUGGGUGUGGAUGAGUGGCGAACGGGUGAGUAACACGUGAGUAACCUGCCCCCUUCUUCUGGAUAACCGCAUGAAAGUGUGGCUAAUACGGGAUAUUCUGGGUCUGUCGCAUGGCGGGCCUGGGAGAGAUAUUGUUUCGGUGGGGGAUGGGCUCGCGGUCUAUCAGCUUGUUGGUGGGGUGAUGGCCUACCAAGGCGGUGACGGGUAGCCGGCCUGAGAGGGUGGACGGUCACACUGGGACUGAGACACGGCCAAGACUCCUACGGGAGGCAGCAGUGGGGAAUAUUGCACAAUGGGCGCAAGCAUGAUGCAGCGACGCCGCGUGAGGGAUGGAGGCCUUCGGGUUGUAAACCUCUUUCGCCAGUGAAGCAGGCCUGUCCCUUUUGUGGGUGGGUUGACGGUAGCUGGAUAAGAAGCGCCGGCUAACUACGUG
rnacentral:rRNA from 1 species